AUGAGUAGGGCGGGACACGUGGUAUCCUGUCUGAAUAUGGGGGGACCAUCCUCCAAGGCUAAAUACUCCUGACUGACCGAUAGUGAACCAGUACCGUGAGGGAAAGGCGAAAAGAACCCCGGCGAGGGGAGUGAAAAAGAACCUGAAACCGUGUACGUACAAGCAGUGGGAGCACGCUUAGGCGUGUGACUGCGUACCUUUUGUAUAAUGGGUCAGCGACUUAUAUUCUGUAGCAAGGUUAACCGAAUAGGGGAGCCGAAGGGAAACCGAGUCUUAACUGGGCGUUAAGUUGCAGGGUAUAGACCCGAAACCCGGUGAUCUAGCCAUGGGCAGGUUGAAGGUUGGGUAACACUAACUGGAGGACCGAACCGACUAAUGUUGAAAAAUUAGCGGAUGACUUGUGGCUGGGGGUGAAAGGCCAAUCAAACCGGGAGAUAGCUGGUUCUCCCCGAAAGCUAUUUAGGUAGCGCCUCGUGAAUUCAUCUCCGGGGGUAGAGCACUGUUUCGGCAAGGGGGUCAUCCCGACUUACCAACCCGAUGCAAACUGCGAAUACCGGAGAAUGUUAUCACGGGAGACACACGGCGGGUGCUAACGUCCGUCGUGAAGAGGGAAACAACCCAGACCGCCAGCUAAGGUCCCAAAGUCAUGGUUAAGUGGGAAACGAUGUGGGAAGGCCCAGACAGCCAGGAUGUUGGCUUAGAAGCAGCCAUCAUUUAAAGA
rnacentral:rRNA from 1 species